UACGUAGGGGGCAAGCGUUGUCCGGAUUUAUUGGGCGUAAAGAGCGUGUAGGCGGUUAGGUAGGUCCGUUGUGAAAACUCGAGGCUCAACCUCGAGACGCCGAUGGAAACCAUCUAACUAGAGUCCGGAAGAGGAGAAUGGAAUUCCUGGUGUAGCGGUGAAAUGCGCAGAUAUCAGGAAGAACACCCGUGGCGAAGGCGGCUCUCGUGGGACGGUACUGACGCU
rnacentral:rRNA from 1 species